AUGAUUAAGGGAGACCAGAGGCAGCUCGGCGGCCAUGAAGAACAGCUAAAAGAUCAGAUGACAGAUGAUCAUCAGGCCUCAGAUGGCAAUUUUUUCAAGUUCUUGCAAAACCAGUCAAGCAUAAAAAAAGAGGCUCAAGAAGACAAGAUUGCGUCCACAAGGGCAGAGAUGGGCGAAGUGAGUAAAGAGAACGAGAGGCUGAAGAUGAUGCUAUCACGGAUGGUGGAGGACCAUCGCUCGCUUCAGAAGCAAUUCGACGUUCUCCACCAGCAAGGGCAAGGCAAGAACCUUGCCGUUGGCUCACCGGAGCAUACAUCACCGGUCGACGGCCCCGGGUUCGUCUCUUUGCGCCUUGGAACGAGCGCCGGCAUGAGCAGGCAGAACAUGGAAGAACAGAUCAAGGGCAGCACUAAUAAUCCAGAUGACAAGGGCAUCUUUCUUGGACUUUCAUCAGCCUGCGGAGCUGUCGGUGCAAGAACUGAUGGAAUUGAGACGAAGGUGCAACCGGACGUGGUGACAUUGAGCCCUGGAGGCAGCUCCGAGGAGGACGCCGCCACAGAGACAACCACAAUAUCGGCGGCGAGCAAGGCAGCAAAGAUCCCGAGGAGCACUGGAGGAGUGGAGGCCGAUGAGGAGGUGGCCCAGCAGCCACUGGCCAAGAAGGCCAGGGUGUCGGUGAGGGCAAGGUGUGACACACCAACGAUGAACGAUGGGUGCCAGUGGAGGAAGUACGGGCAGAAGAUAUCCAAGGGCAACCCAUGCCCGCGUGCCUACUACCGCUGCACUGUCGCAACAGGGUGCCCCGUCAGGAAGCAGGUGCAGAGAUGCGCGGAGGACAUGUCGAUCCUGAUCACCACCUACGAGGGUGCGCACAACCACCCACUCUCCGCCUCCGCAACCGCCAUGGCCUCCACCACCUCCGCUGCCGCGUCCAUGCUCAUGUCAGGCUCCUCCACCUCGUUUGGCUUUCCCUCUGCCACUGCCGCCACCAGCCUCCAUGGCCUCAGGUUCGGCCUCCCAGCAACGGCCAUGGACACCUCCUCCAACCAGCUGGGCGGCCGACCGUUCUUCCUCCCGACCGCCGCGGGCACGUCCAUCAGCGCUACCCCGUCAUACCCCACCAUCACCCUCGACCUCACCUCGCAGGCCGCCUCGCAACACGCCUUCUCCCUGAGCAAUUGCAACAAGUUCUCUUCCAGCUUCACCGGCUCUCAUGGCCACAACAGUAGCACUAGUAGGUACCCUUCCACGAGCUUCUCCUUCUCUAGCUUCGACGCGAGCAGCCUACCUGGCUCCACCACAUGGCCAUCAGGUGUUGGAUCAUACCUGGGCUACGGAUCCUCAUCCGGCGCGUCCUACAACGGCCCCAACAAGGGCACAUUCGAAGCUGCACUGAGCAGCAUCCAUGGAAGGCAACAAGGCUCGGUGGCAUCGCUCUACCAGCCGGUGCAUGUGCAACAGAGGGUGGCUGAGUUGAGAAGUGGUGGCACGGGCAUGGCGGCGCCGACUGUGCUCACUGAUACGAUCGCCAAGGCGAUUACGUCGAACCCGGGCUUCCACACAGCGCUCACAGCUGCCAUCACAUCAUACGUCGGCAAGUCGGCAGCAGGAGGCGGGAAGGGGCUCGAGUGGGGGGACCACCUCGGGCUUGGGCCGUCGAGUGCGGCGACUGCGGUGUGCUCGUCAGCGCUUCUGGCACGGUCGUCUUCAACGGCAGCCGCACAGAACGGUUCUCCAAAUGGCAAGAUGAGGUUGGAGCCGUCACUGGCGCUGUCAAGCUCCACAAGUGCUACUGCUUCGACGUCUCGGGUGUGA
rnacentral:rRNA from 1 species